rnacentral:rRNA from 1 species
AUUGAACGCUGGCGGCAGGCCUAACACAUGCAAGUCGAACGAGUGGCGGACGGGUGAGUAAUGUCUGGGAAACUGCCUGAUGGAGGGGGAUAACUACUGGAAACGGUAGCUCAUACCGCAUACCAUCAGAUGUGCCCAGAUGGGAUUAGCAGGUUGGUGGGGUAACGGCUCACCAAGGCGACGAUCCCUAGCUGGUCUGAGAGGAUGACCAGCAACCCUGGAACUGGGACACGGUCCAAACUCCUACGGAGGGCAGCAGUGGGGAAUAUUGCACAAUUGGCGCAAGCCUGAUGCAGCCAUGCCGCGUGUAUGAGGAAGGCCUUCGGGUUGUAAAGUACUUUCAGCGGGGAGGCGGUACCCGCAGAAGAAGCACCGGCUAACUCCGUGCCAGCAGCCGCGGUAAUUG